rnacentral:rRNA from 1 species
AUUGAACGCUGGCGGCAUGCUUUACACAUGCAAGUCGAACGGCAGCACGGAGAGCUUGCUCUCUGGUGGCGAGUGGCGAACGGGUGAGUAAUAUAUCGGAACGUGUCCAAUAAUGGGGGAUAACUAGUCGAAAGAUUAGCUAAUACCGCAUACGCCCUGAGGGGGAAAGUGGGGGAUCUUCGGACCUCACGUUAAUGGAGCGGCCGAUAUCUGAUUAGCUAGUUGGUAGGGUAAAAGCCUACCAAGGCGACGAUCAGUAGCUGGUCUGAGAGGAUGAUCAGCCACACUGGGACUGAGACACGGCCCAGACUCCUACGGGAGGCAGCAGUGGGGAAUUUUGGACAAUGGGCGCAAGCCUGAUCCAGCCAUGCCGCGUGAGUGAAGAAGGCCUUCGGGUUGUAAAGCUCUUUCGCAAGGAAAGAAAACUUACAUGUAAAUAAUGUGUGAGGUUGACGGU